rnacentral:pre_miRNA from 1 species
AUUCUACUCCCUCCGUUGCACAAUACAUGCCUUCUAUUUGUCAAAAUAUAUAUGUAUCUAGAUAUGUUUUAGUAUAUAGGUACAUCCAUUUUUGGACAAAUGGAAGACAAGUAUUUUGGAACGGAGGAGUACACA